rnacentral:piRNA from 1 species
AUAUAAUUGAGUUUUCUGUUUUUGC